AUAGAAGGCAUCUUUUUAUUUUUAAAAGACCUAGCAAUAGGUAUGCUUAGGGAAGAGCUUGCGUCACAUUAGUUAGUUGGUGGGGUAAUGGCCUACCAAGACGAUGAUGUGUAGCCGGGCUGAGAGGUCGAACGGCCACAUUGGGACUGAGACACGGCCCAAACUCCUACGGGAGGCAGCAGUAAGGAAUUUUCGGCAAUGGAGGAAACUCUGACCGAGCAAUGCCGCGUGAACGAUGAAGUAUUUCGGUACGUAAAGUUCUUUUAUUAGGGAAGAAAAGAUGGUGGAAAAACCAUUAUGACGGUACCUAAUGAAUAAGCCCCGGCUAACUAUGUGCCAGCAGCCGCGGUAAUACAUAGGGGGCAAGCGUUAUCCGGAAUUAUUGGGCGUAAAGGGUGCGUAGGCGGUUAAAUAAGUUUAUGGUCUAAGUGCAACGCUCAACGUUGUGAUGCUAUAAAAACUGUUUAGCUAGAGUUGGAUAGAGGCAAGUGGAAUUCCGUGUGUAGUGGUAAAAUGCGUAAAUAUACGGAGGAACACCAGAAGCGAAGGCGGCUUGCUGGGUCUUAACUGACGCUGAGGCACGAAAGCGUGGGGAGCAAACAGGAUUAGAUACCCUGGUAGUCCACGCCCUAAACGAUGAGUACUAAACGUUGGAUAAAACCAGUGUUGAAGUUAACACAUUAAGUACUCCGCCUGAGUAGUACGUACGCAAGUAUGAAACUUAAAGGAAUUGACGGGACUCCGCACAAGCGGUGGAUCAUGUUGUUUAAUUCGAAGGUACCCGAAAAACCUCACCAGGUCUUGACAUGCUUUUGCAAAGCUGUAGAAAUACAGUGGAGGUUAUCAGAAGCACAGGUGGUGCAUGGUUGUCGUCAGCUCGUGUCGUGAGAUGUUGGGUUAAGUCCCGCAACGAGCGCAACCCUUGUUGUUAAUUGCCAUCAUUAAGUUGGGGACUUUAGCAAGACUGCCAAUGAUAAAUUGGAGGAAGGUGGGGACGACGUCAAAUCAUCAUGCCCCUUAUGACCUGGGCUACAAACGUGAUACAAUGGCUGUUACAAAGGGUAGCUAAAGCGUAAGCUUCUGGCGAAUCUCAAAAAAGCAGUCUCAGUUCGGAUUGAAGUCUGCAACUCGACUUCAUGAAGUUGGAAUCGCUAGUAAUCGCGAAUCAGCAUGUCGCGGUGAAUACGUUCUCGGGGUUUGUACACACCGCCCGUCAAACCACGAAAGUUGGCAAUACCCAAAGCCGGUGGCCUAACUUGAGCAAUCAAGAAGGAGCCGUCUAAGGUAGGGUUGAUGAUUGGGGUUAAGUCGUAACAAGGUAUCCCUACCGGAAGGUGGGGAUGGAUCACCUCCUUUCU
rnacentral:rRNA from 1 species